AGUAUCUUCUCUGUUGUCUGUUCCAGUCAUGUUGACGAGGGUGAUCAGGGGGUAAAUGCCACACAGUGGCUGCAUAACGAACCUGUACUUGUUACUGUAAGUGGUGAUGGCAGUGUUGGAAUGUGGGACGUUACUUUAGGUCAACCUUGUGUCAGACAUAUCGUUGCCCAUACUCGAUGUGCUAAUGCGGUUGCUGUGGCCCCUAAUGACAAAUACCUCUGCACAGGAGGAAGCGAUCAGAAAGUACCCUUCAGCUUACCUCUUCUGAUAUUGAUUUUCAUUGUAUAAAUUCCAGGUUGCUGUGGCCCCUAAUGACAAAUACCUCUGCAUAGGAGGAAGCGAUCAGAAAGUUGUUUUAUAUCAUAACAGAAGUGGGCGUACACAUCUUAAUUGGCGUCUUUCACAUCCUCUGCAAGGAAAUGAUUGAUAUGCUGCCAGAAAUCAUAGAAUUGUUCCGCUAACAUGCAGGGAAGUUCUCUAAGGCAGGCAGUUGAACUUUGGCAGAAACUUGGUUGCUCCAGAUGGAUGUGGAGCCAGGACUCGUAUUGAAGCUUCUGCUUGAUGGAUGGCUGAAGCUUGUGUUGGCCUUGACAUUAUUGAAUUCUCAUGCCUCUUUACAAGUAGAGUCUGUAUCUUUUUGUUCUCCUAUAAAGAAAUGUUCAUGAAAUCAAUGUCAUUCUGACUUUUAGUAGGUCUCUAUUCUUAGAUUCUGUUUGGAUAAGGGGGAUGGAAUCCAAAUCCUUAGGAUUUAGUUCAACUUUGAACUAAAUUUCUAGAGCAACCCCCUUAUUUGAGCACCCAUGUAUGUGCCAGAUUAUGUGAUUCCCUGUACCAUCAACCAGUUGACUAAUAAAUACUC